rnacentral:rRNA from 1 species
UAAUACGUAGGGGGCGAGCGUUGUCCGAAGUUACUGGGCGUAAAGCGCGCGUAGGCGGCUCUCUAAGUCUGGUGUGAAAGGUUCAGGGCUCAACCCGAACAGUGCACUGGAUACUGGGGAGCUUGAGUGCGGGAGAGGAGAGUGGAAUUCCUGGUGUAGCGGUGAAAUGCGUAGAUAUCAGGAGGAACACCCGUGGCGAAGGCGGCUCUCUGGCCUGCAACUGACGCUGAGGCGCGAAAGCGUGGGGAGCGAACGGGAUUAGAUACCCCGGUAGUCCACGCCGUAAACGAUGAGUGCUAGGUGUCAGGGGUAUCGACCCCUCUGGUGCCGCAGCUAACGCAAUAAGCACUCCGCCUGGGGAGUACGGCCGCAAGGUUG